GCAAAUGUCGCUUAGCUUGGUAGAACGCUUAAGCGUGCUAAAAGCGCUGGAUUGCUAAUCCAGUGUCCAACGGACUCGAGGGUUCGAAUCCCUCCAUUUGCG
rnacentral:tRNA from 1 species